CAGUCGCCGCGGGAAUACAGAGGGUGCGAGCGUUAAUCGGAUUUACUUGGCGUAAAGCGUGCGUAGGCGGCUUUUUAAGUCGGAUGUGAAAUCCCUGAGCUUAACUUAGGAAUUGCAUUCGAUACUGGGAAGCUAGAGUAUGGGAGAGGAUGGUAGAAUUCCAGGUGUAGCGGUGAAAUGCGUAGAGAUCUGGAGGAAUACCGAUGGCGAAGGCAGCCAUCUGGCCUAAUACUGACGCUGAGGUACGAAAGCAUGGGGAGCAAACAGGAUUAGAUACCCGCGUAGUCCCUGUCUCUUAUAC
rnacentral:rRNA from 1 species